rnacentral:rRNA from 1 species
UGGUCAAGUUAUUAAGGGUGCAGGGCGGAUGCCUUGGCACUAGGAGCCGAUGAAGGACGUGAUAAGCUGCGAUAAGCUUCGGGGAGUUGCACGUAAACUUUGAUCCGAAGAUUUCCGAAUGAGGAAACUCACUUAGAGUAAUGUCUAAGUAUCAUUAAGUGAAUACAUAGCUUAAUGAGGGGAACUCAGGGAACUGAAACAUCUAAGUACCUGAAGGAAGAGAAAGAAAUUCGAUUCCGUAAGUAGCGGCGAGCGAACGCGGAUUAGCCCAAACCAAUAAAGUUUUCUUUAUUGGGGUUGCGGACAUAUCAUAACGAAGAGGUAUCGUAAUUGAAGAGGUUUGGAAAGACCCACCACAGAAGGUAAUAGUCCUGUAUGUUAAACGAGAAGACUUUAGAUAUGAUCCAGAGUACCACGGGACACGUGAAACCCUGUGGGAAGCAGGAGGGACCACCCUCCAAGGCUAAAUACUACCUAGUGACCGAUAGCGUAUAGUACCGUGAGGGAAAGGUGAAAAGAACCCCGGGAGGGGAGUGAAAUAGAACCUGAAACCCUGCACUUACAAGCUGUGGAAGCACAUUUCUUGUGUGACCGCGUACUUUUUGUAGAACGGGCCAACGAGUUACGUUAAGUAGCAAGGUUAAGCACUUAAGGUGCGGAGCCGUAGCGAAAGCGAGUUUUAACUGAGCGGUCAGGUACUUGACGUAGACCCGAAACCGGGCGACCUACCCAUGAGCAGGAAGAAGCGAAAGUAAAAUUUCGUGGAGGUCCGAACACACGAGCGGUGAAAAGCUCGGGUAUGACGGGUGGGUAGCGGUGAAAUUCCAAUCGAGCCCGGAGAUAGCUGGUUCUCCCCGAAAUAGCUUUAGGGCUAGCCUCAAGGUGAGAGAUACGGAGGUAGAGCACUGAAUGUCCUAGGGGGUAUUGCACCUACCGAAGACUAUCACACUCCGAAUGCCGUCAUCUUAUACUUGGGAGUCAGACUGUGGGUGAUAAGAUUCAUAGUCGAAUGGGCAACAGCCCAGAUCGUCAGCUAAGGUCCCUAAAUGUAAGUUAAGUGGUAAAGGAUGUGGGAUUGCACAGACAACCAGGAUGUUGGCUUAGAAGCAGCCACUCAUUCAAAGAGUGCGUAAUAGCUCACUGGUCGAGUGAUCCUGCGCCGAAGAUUUCCGGGGCUAAAACUUACUACCGAAGCUACGGCAUCAGUAAUGAUGGGUAGGGGAGCUUCCCAUACGGGUUGAAGCAUGACCGUAAGGACAUGUGGACAGUAUGGGAGUGAGAAUGUUGGCAUGAGUAGCGAGAUGUGGGUGAGAAUCCCACAGGCCGUAAACCCAAGGUUUCCAGGGGAAGGUUCGUCCGCCCUGGGUUAGUCGGGACCUAAGCUGAGGCCGAAAGGCGUAGGUGAUGGACAACAGGUUGAUAUUCCUGUACUACCGAU